CCUACGGGAGGCAGCAGUGGGGAAUAUUGCACAAUGGGGGAAACCCUGAUGCAGCGACGCCGCGUGAGUGAGGAAGUAUUUCGGUAUGGAAAGCUCUAUCAGCAGGGAAGAAAAUGACGGUACCUGACUAAGAAGCCCCGGCUAACUACGUGCCAGCAGCCGCGGUAAUACGUAGGGGGCAAGCGUUAUCCGGAUUUACUGGGUGUAAAGGGAGCGUAGACGGCUAGUCAAGUGCGAAGUGAAAGCCCAGGGCCCAACCUUGGGACUGCUUUUGAAACUGAGUAGCUUGAGUGCAGGAGAGGUAAGCGGAAUUCCUAGUGUAGCGGUGAAAUGCGUAGAUAUUAGGAGGAACACCAGUGGCGAAGGCGGCUUACUGGACUGUAACUGACGUUGAGGCUCGAAAGCGUGGGGAGCAAACAGGAUUAGAUACCCGAGUAGUC
rnacentral:rRNA from 1 species